GGGCCUGUAGCUCAACGGUUAGAGCAGGGGACUCAUAAUCCCUUGGUUGGGGGUUCAAAUCCCUCCAGGCCCA
rnacentral:tRNA from 1 species